UAGGGUUUUUAGGGUUAGGCAGGGUUUAGGGUUAGGUAGGGUUUAGGGUUAGAAAGGGUUUAGGGUUAGGUAGGGUUUAGAAUUAGGUAGGGUUUAGGGUUAGUAGGAUUGGGUUAGGUAUGGUUUAGGGUUAAAAAGAGGGUUUAGGGCUAGGUAGGGUUUACGGUUAGUAGGGUUUAGGAUUAAAAAGGGUUUAGGGUUUAGGGCUAGGUAGGGUUUACGGUUAGUAGGGUUUAGGGUUUAGGGUUAGGUAGGGUUUAGGUUAGGUAGGGUUUAGGUUAGUAGGGUUUAGGGCUAGGUAGGGUUUAGGGUUAGGUAGGGUUUAGGGUUAGUAAGAGGAAAAACGAAGAGAAGAGUAUUCAAGCAAGAAAGAACGUCACAGCUGACGUGGACAAUGUGGAGUCAGAUCAAUAACAGUCACGGGUUGUUACAGGCAGUUACAGACGUUAGAUAAUUGAGUCAUUCGUCUAUUAUAAAUAGGAGUCUGUUUGUAAAGUCAAGGAGCUUUUUGAGUACUGAGUAUCUAGGAUCUAGACUAGAAGGUCUUGAUCACUGGCUCUUGACGAGUGAGUCGUCUUGAGAGUUCUUGUAUUGGCUUGUAACUCUGCGUGUAGAGUACAAGAGAGGGAGGCUGGGCGGAACUUCAAUAAACAUAUAUACAUUCUCUUAUCAUUUGGUGCGGUGAGCUCUCGGAUCUCGCGACGAUUGAAGGCGAUGACGAGAUCAACGACUCUCGAAGAAUCGAUACAACGGAUUGGAGCUCUGGACUCCAACGUCGACGAUUUGCGACGGCGAUUCGACAGCUUGGAUGAGAGGUUCAGUCGAUUCGA
rnacentral:lncRNA from 1 species